UCCAGCAGCCAUAUCACCCUGCAACUUACAACUGGAAACAGACUGAAGCUCAGUGUGAGCCUGGUCAGUACCUGGAUUGGAGACUCCUGGGAAAGCUGAGGUUGCUGCUGGAA
rnacentral:rRNA from 1 species